rnacentral:lncRNA from 1 species
UGAAUAGGCUACAUCUUGAUUCUGACAAAGUUCCAUCAUGGCCGAAACUCAAUCUUAGAUGGUGCCAUUCAAAUCUUGAGAGAAGAAGAGAUACAGAGAAGGUUGGUUGACCUGCAAUCUUCUCUCGCUGGCCUUCCCAACUUGGUGGCUGCUCGUGACGGUGAAAAUCGACCCACAAAUGGAAACAAGGGUGGGGCUUUAGCAGUCCCGAUGGCCGGUGUCCUUCCUUGUUUUUUUUUCUUCUUUCUGCGAUGUUGCCAGCUUGAUCCUCUAGUCAAGAAGUAGCUGGGAUGGUCCACAAGACCUUAGUGUAGUCCCGCCAGAUCAAAAGGCCAAAAGGAUUGGGUUCUCACACAUAGGAUUUGCAUCGUUGUAUUAGACAACUUAAAUUAUUUUUUUGGUAGAAGAU